AAUCAAACCAACCUGCAAAAGAGUAAAUUUAGAAGACGUUUAAAAGAAAAGAACGGCAAAGAACGUCAAAGAAAACAAAGUCAACCAAACAAACAUAUGAAAUUAAAACAAGAACAGCAAAGAAAAGGGAAAAGAUGGAGGCGUUGACGAAACCAUGGAGGCCUCGUCGUAGGUCAUGGCGGAGUUGAGCGGUGCGCCGGUUGGGCGCUCAAACUCCAUUGCUGCAACGGAACUGAACAAACGCACGCUGAGAAGAAAUCCGACGAAUGAAAUUGCGAAAUAGAAAAAGAGAAAAUGCAGCCAAAAUGCCAUUGGUGAAGUCAACCAAACAAACACAGACCUGAAAUUAAAACAAAACGGCAAAGAAAAGAGAAAAAUAAGAGAUUACAGAGAGAAAACUUGGAAGGCGUUUACGAAGCUCUUGUUGCGCUCCAUGGAGGCGUUGAGCGGUGCAGCGGUUCUCAAACUCCAUUGCUGCAACGGAACCGUAUGCUGAGAAGAAACGCGACCAAUGAAAUUGCAUGAACGGUGCUCUGAUUAGUGCAUAAUGAAUACCCAAUUCGGAACUGAAGACCGAGAAAGGAAAACUCGAAGAGAUCGAGGAAAAGAGCUAGGUGGUGGUUACAAAUAAUAGGACCCGAUUGAGACAAAAAAAAUACGAUGACCAAAUUGAGAUUGGCACAC
rnacentral:lncRNA from 1 species